rnacentral:rRNA from 1 species
GCUUCUAUGACGUUAGCGGCGGACGGGUGAGUAACACGUGGGCAACCUGCCUGUAAGACUGGGAUAACUUCGGGAAACCGAAGCUAAUACCGGAUAGGAUCUUCUCCUUCAUGGGAGAUGAUUGAAAGAUGGUUUCGGCUAUCACUUACAGAUGGGCCCGCGGUGCAUUAGCUAGUUGGUGAGGUAACGGCUCACCAAGGCAACGAUGCAUAGCCGACCUGAGAGGGUGAUCGGCCACACUGGGACUGAGACACGGCCCAGACUCCUACGGGAGGCAGCAGUAGGGAAUCUUCCGCAAUGGACGAAAGUCUGACGGAGCAACGCCGCGUGAGUGAUGAAGGCUUUCGGGUCGUAAAACUCUGUUGUUAGGGAAGAACAAGUACAAGAGUAACUGCUUGUACCUUGACGGUACCUAACCAGAAAGCCACGGCUAACUACGUGCCAGCAGCCGCGGUAAUACGUAGGUGGCAAGCGUUAUCCGGAAUUAUUGGGCGUAAAGCGCGCGCAGGCGGUUUCUUAAGUCUGAUGUGAAAGCCCACGGCUCAACCGUGGAGGGUCAUUGGAAACUGGGGAACUUGAGUGCAGAAGAGAAAAGCGGAAUUCCACGUGUAGCGGUGAAAUGCGUAGAGAUGUGGAGGAACACCAGUGGCGAAGGCGGCUUUUUGGUCUGUAACUGACGCUGAGGCGCGAAAGCGUGGGGAGCAAAC